rnacentral:rRNA from 1 species
AUUGAACGCUGGCGGCAGGCUUAACACAUGCAAGUCGAGCGGAGUGAUGGUGCUUGCACUAUCACUUAGCGGCGGACGGGUGAGUAAUGCUUAGGAAUCUGCCUAUUAGUGGGGGACAACAUCUCGAAAGGGAUGCUAAUACCGCAUACGUCCUACGGGAGAAAGCAGGGGAUCACUUGUGACCUUGCGCUAAUAGAUGAGCCUAAGUCGGAUUAGCUAGUUGGUGGGGUAAAGGCCUACCAAGGCGACGAUCUGUAGCGGGUCUGCGAGGAUGAUCCGCCACACUGGGACUGAGACACGGCCCAGACUCCUACGGGAGGCAGCAGUGGGGAAUAUUGGACAAUGGGGGGAACCCUGAUCCAGCCAUGCCGCGUGUGUGAAGAAGGCCUUAUGGUUGUAAAGCACUUUAAGCGAGGAGGAGGCUCUUUUGGUUAAUACCCAAGAUGAGUGGACGUUACUCGCAGAAUAAGCACCGGCUAACUCCGUGCCAGCCGCCGCUGUAAGAC